rnacentral:rRNA from 1 species
AGAGUUUGAUCCUGGCUCAGGAUGAACGCUGGCGGUAUGCUUAACACAUGCAAGUCGAACGGAACCCUUCGGGGUUUAGUGGCGGACGGGUGAGUAACGCGUGAGAAUCGGCCCUCAGGUUGGGGACAACCAUUGGAAACGGUGGCUAAUACCGAAUAAGCCGAAAGGUGAAAGAUUAAUUGCCUGGGGAAGAGCUCGCGUCUGAUUAGCUAGUAGGUGUGGUAAGAGCGCACCUAGGCGACGAUCAGUAGCUGGUCUGAGAGGAUGAUCAGCCACACUGGGACUGAGACACGGCCCAGACUCCUACGGGAGGCAGCAGUGGGGAAUUUUCCGCAAUGGGCGAAAGCCUGACGGAGCAAUACCGCGUGAGGGAGGAAGGCUCUUGGGUUGUAAACCUCUUUUCUCAGGGAAGAAUGAUGACGGUACCUGAGGAAUAAGCAUCGGCUAACUCCGUGCCAGCAGCCGCGGUAAUACGGAGGAUGCAAGCGUUAUCCGGAAUGAUUGGGCGUAAAGCGUCCGCAGGUGGCAAUGUAAGUCUGCUGUCAAAGCGUCUGGCUCAACCAGAUAAAGGCAGUGGAAACUACAUAGCUAGAGUAAGGUAGGGGUAGAGGGAAUUCCUGGUGUAGCGGUGAAAUGCGUAGAGAUCAGGAAGAACACCGGUGGCGAAAGCGCUCUGCUGGACCUUAACUGACACUGAGGGACGAAAGCUAGGGGAGCGAAUGGGAUUAGAUACCCCGGUAGUCC